UACGGAGGGGGCUAGCGUUGUUCGGAAUUACUGGGCGUAAAGCGCACGUAGGCGGCUUUGUAAGUUAGAGGUGAAAGCCCGGGGCUCAACUCCGGAAUUGCCUUUAAGACUGCAUCGCUAGAACACGGGAGAGGUAAGCGGAAUUCCGAGUGUAGAGGUGAAAUUCGUAGAUAUUCGGAAGAACACCAGUGGCGAAGGCGGCUUACUGGACCGUUGUUGACGCUGAGGUGCGAAAGCGUGGGGAGCAAACAGG
rnacentral:rRNA from 3 species